rnacentral:misc_RNA from 1 species
GACUCAGCGAACCAGCGG